rnacentral:rRNA from 1 species
GACGAACGCUGGCGGCGUGCCUAAUACAUGCAAGUAGAACGCACAGUUUAUACCGUAGCUUGCUACACCAUAGACUGUGAGUUGCGAACGGGUGAGUAACGCGUAGGUAACCUGCCUGGUAGCGGGGGAUAACUAUUGGAAACGAUAGCUAAUACCGCAUAAUAUUAAUUAUUGCAUGAUAAUUAAUUGAAAGGUGCAAUUGCACCACUACCAGAUGGACCUGCGUUGUAUUAGCUAGUAGGUGAGGUAACGGCUCACCUAGGCGACGAUACAUAGCCGACCUGAGAGGGUGAGCAGCCACACUGGGACUGAGACACGGCCCAGACGCCUACAGGAGGCAGCAAUAGGGAAACGUCGGCAAGGGGCGAAAGACAGAGCGAGCAACGCCGAGGGAGGAUAGAAGGUUGUCGGGUCGGAAAGCUCGGUUGUAAGAGAAGAACGGGCGUGAGAGUGGAAAGUUCACACUGUGACGGUAACUUACCAGAAAGGGACGGCUAACUACGUG